AAAUUGAAGAGUUUGAUCAUGGCUCAGAUUGAACGCUGGCGGCAGGCCUAACACAUGCAAGUCGAACGGUAACAGGAAACAGCUUGCUGUUUCGCUGACGAGUGGCGGACGGGUGAGUAAUGUCUGGGAAACUGCCUGAUGGAGGGGGAUAACUACUGGAAACGGUAGCUAAU
rnacentral:rRNA from 3 species